rnacentral:lncRNA from 1 species
AUCACCAAAUCAAGCCAUUUGCAAUUCCUUUUUCAAUUUUUUUCCAAAUAGUCAACCACCCCACUUUAAUAUAUUCCAACCCCCAUACUCAAUCACAUCACCCAUCUUUUCACCAUUUCUACCUUAUUUAAUUUAUCAAAUACCAACAUGCCCCAAACCUUAGCCAACUAAACCCAUUUUCAGCUUUAGACCGAAAUUAGCCUCGUCAAAACCCGUGAGUUACGAACCCGAGCCA